AUUGUCACACUGUUCCUGCUUCCUGACAGGUUCACUUGAACCAUCUGGAGAUUGGGGAACAAGGGCAAUGAGUUGAACAUGUAGGAAGUUUCAUGGCCCAGCCCCUCCUGAGAGCCCUGAACUGCCAACCAGACUGAGCCCAUCAGAGAAUAACACCUCAUUUUCUGAGGAUUCUGAUACCUUUUCAAUCAGAAACAGAAGCAAAGAUUCUGCAGCUCCCACAGAAACUCCCAGAAACCUUGCGGUGCUUCACCCUUCUGAGAUCCUUGAGUCCGAAUGUGGGAGCUAACCAGGUUGCCUUUCUUUACUUACCAUGAAUUCCUCCUAGACUCGUGGUGGCACCUAGGCUUUGGUUCACUCUCACUCUGUUACUAACACUUUUUAUUAAGUAAUGGGAAGGGAAGUAAAUCAUUUAUUUUAUGGCUAAACAUAUAUGCUCAUUAUUCAUAUUAUAUAUCAAUGGUUCCAGGGGAAAAAUAGAUGCACAUUUGAUGUGCAAAUUAUGUAAAAGUGUUUAGGACUUGGCUAUAUAUGUUUCUUUGGUGGAGAAAUAUCUAUGUGAUAGAGAUUUCUUUGGGAAAGAUGACACUCACAAAAAAAGCCAGAAAUUUCUGUUUUAUAGAUUUUGAUAAAAUGUAUGAAAUAAUUUUCGCAGCCAAAGGAAAGUAUAGCACAGUAUAUUAUGGAGAGAUGUUACAGCUCAGGAAAAUUAAUACAUGUCAGCUGUUUAAUAAAUUAUGCAUUUAAUUAUUGCCAGUACAGUCACAAUACAUGCUAAUCUAUGAGAAUAUAUUUAUUGCAAUAGAAUAUAAACCCAAAUGGAUGCUAAAUCUAUGUCUUAUCUUUCAUUAAGCAUGGCACUAAAGAGGGCAUAAGGCACCUGCAAUGUACUAGAUAAAUAUGUAUAAAUAUUAGAUUUUCCAUAGACUGGAGGAUAAGUUUUUGUGGUGCACAUGGAAAGAGUACAGAAAAAGAACUCAGGUGGUAGGUGGUGGUGUAACAAAGUAGGAAAACGAUGUAAUAAUUAAUAAUACUUUAAAUUUUCUUUUUAUAGGAUUUUUGUUUAAUGUGUACCUUUUUAUUUAUUUCUGCUUUUCCUCCCGAGGCACAUCUUCACAAUGAAAUCUUCACAAGCUCAGAACCAUCAACUUGCUACACUGUGUUCCUCCAGUGCCCAGUUCACAGGAAGCACUCAAGAGUAGGAUCAAUUGUUAUCAACCUCUAGCAGAUUAUUGAAUAGACGGUCGUUACAUGAAACUGACACUCAGUUCUUCAUGGUCCACGAUAGUUCUUAUAUCCAGAAAACGUACUUACGUUAUCAACUCUGACUCCAUAAGACAACUUUGCAAAGUCUUGGCUCAUAACUAUAAAUCAAGGCUGAAUCAAACAGGACUACUGUUCUGAAAGAAUACUCAGACUAUGAGGUACCUUAUUUUCCUUCUUUUACACCUGUCUUUCAGUUGGCUUCAAAAAAUCAUGGCUUUUACUGUGUUUCUUUUUUCCUUUAUGUCUUCCUUUUGAGGGAAAUGAAAAAUUGAGAAAGGAAAUUAUUAUUUUAUAAGUGGGUGGGUUUGAAUACAUCUUUCACAGUCAAAUAUUUUUCUAUGCCUUAUGAGCUUAAAAAAUAAAUUUAGAAAGUUUGAUAAACACAGAAAUUUUUUAUUUUAUGUUAUUUUAUGAGAUGAGGGCUUGCCAUGUUAUCCAGGCUGUCCUGGAACUCCUGGGCUCAAGCUAUCCUCCUGCUUUCAGCCUCCCAAGUAGCUGGAACUACAGGUGCAUAUGACGGCACCUACUGAGAAAUUUUUACUAUCAACCUAAAAUUUAAUAAGUCCUGGUCACAAGUGAGGAAUUUUUAAUUUGUUAUUUAGAUUAUUUUUGUGUCAAGGUAACUUGAUCACCUAUCAAUAAUGCUUAUAAGAAAAUAGAUAUCUCAUCUGUUGCUGUUAGAAAGGAAUCUGUCUCUUUCCCCAGUUCUUGCUUCAAUGAGGUUUCCUUGACCCAGAGUCUGGUCCUCACAUUUUAGAUUCAGCUUUGGGAAUUUUGUUCAGGAACUGCAUCAUACAACCCAAAAGCAAAAGAGGAAAAUGCAUAAGCCAGGAUACCUAAAUGUUCAUUUAUUUAAACUUGAAAAUGUGACUGCAAAAGGAGUCAAGAAGUUUAGUACUCAACACAUUUCUUCUUUGUAGAAAUAACUGCUCAAGAAGAUAAAUUGUUACCUAACAGUUGAUUGAUGAAUAUGAAAUCAGAGCAAGAGGGGCUAAUUAGAGAUUUUACUAGCUAGGGCUAUUUACCCAAACCAUCUAUCCAGACUGUAGACAUAGAAUCACCAGAUGGCUAGGAUCCUGGUGCAGCUGGUUCCCCUUUUUCCUUACCCUGAAUGUCAUUAAGGAUGCAUUGCCAAAUGCUGCCCCUCUGGCCUGAUGACUACACUCCAUAUUGGUCACCUGCCUUCUUUUUCCUACAGUCUUCCUCCAGACAGGCACGCCAUACAACCGACUACACUUGGGCUCACUGAAUGAAUCACAUUCUUCUGCUGUGCCUCCCAGAGAUUUCAUCAAAGCACCCGCAGUGGCCUUCUGGAGGCUCCUCAAACUCUCCACUCAAUGUUUCCUGAAAGUGUCGUGUUUCUCACCUCUAGAUUGUUAUUCUCAUCAGUUACAUGUGGGUUUCACAAAUUUAUUUCUCAGAAUGCAAGUCUGUCUCUUAUAUCCUCGGGAAACACACCUUUAUAUCCCAGUUAGUACUGACAAAAAUUAAACUAGGGACUGGCCAAAAACAGUGCCUUUCCUCACUUUAAUCUCACUAAAGUAGAUAAGACUCAAGUUAUUUUGUUCUUGCAAUGGCAUUGACAAAUGUUUGCACCAAAAACCAUGUUGAAGUUCAUUAAGGAAACUGUGAUCCAAGAUCCAAGGUCAAAAAAACAAAUUCAUCAAUUCAGCACACCACCAACUCACAGGCUAAGCAUCUUACUGCUAAUUCAUUGAUGCUGCCAUUUGUCAAGUGCCAAAUUGAAUUAUUGAUUUGUCAAUAAUUUCCUUCCGUUGGUUACUUAUAUAGUAUAUUGCAAUUCUUGUUGCUGAAGUCAGCUACACUUUUUCUAUUUGAAAAACAAUUUCUUGCAUUUGGGAUUUCAGGUAUAGUGAUUGUUACAAAUAUGAAGGACUUGAAUUAACAGCAAGUUUUCAAGUAAAACUUUACUUAUGUAUAACUGAAUGAGUUCUUAAAGACAUUUACUAACAAUUUUCCACAAACUAAAAAUUUAUAAAACAAUAAAUAAAAUAGACUUUAAAAAAAAGCGUGUCACACAGCUGCUUGUUUUUUGUUUGUUUCUUUGUUUGUUU
rnacentral:lncRNA from 1 species